ACGACAAAAAUGCUAAAUAUACUUUGUUUUGCUCAUUUCAUUACAUUUCGCAACGAAGCCGAGUCUUGUUUGUGGAACUGCACCCACUCGAGCUUUUUUUAUGCUGCUAAUUCAGUGUGUGCAUAUCACUGUCGUAAACACAGCGUAUAGUUGGCUGGCUGGCUGGCUGGUAAUCCAUAUUAUCCAUUCUCAUAAUACCCGAGUUAACUAAACUCCUCUGAGACUAUCUCAUGUUGGGCUUUAUAUACGUAUGCAUGUGAAUGUGUGUGUGUUUGUGUGUGUGUGAGUGGGUAAAGUGUACAAGGGAAUGUAGGUCAUCAAGCAAUUUUGAGCGUGCAGAGUUUUUUAGUCUCGUGUAUAACAUGGCAAAUCAUAGUUGUCUUCUCCUCUUUUUCAACCAUGCUGAGUUUUUUACGUAAUGAGUUUCCUUCAAUUUUACGGUAAAUAAAAAAAGAGGAGAGAUAGAUAGUGGUACGUGGGAAUAACACCGACAUCCGACCGAGGAGACGAGGUGUGUUGCAGUGUAUGGGAGAAAACAAGUAACGGGACAUUUAGAGUCGCUUUUAUACCGAGCACUACCUUUUUCCUUGGCAAACAUCACACUCUUUUACCACGCCACCACUACGUACAGCAGACCCAAACAUAUUCAAUAUUGUAUGUAGUUAGUUAGUGUUUUAUAAAGAUGUCUGCGAUGCGAUGAGACAAUUUACUCGGAUAGUAAAAAUCUAUGUGUGUAUGUAUAUGUAGCUCGGUUACGUGAAUCGGUCUGCGUGCUACUUUAUCCAAACCAGGACCACGUGUAGAAAAGCUUUUAGGCAAAUGUAUGUAUGGAACAAGUCUGAGAUCAAGUGUCUUUGAUGGUCUGGUUAGAGUGCGUAUGUCCAAGUAUAUGUAAGUAUAGAAGAAGUUUCUUAAGAUCAACCUGACGAUGAUGAUGUAAUGAAGGGACUGCUAAAACAGGAAAUAGAAUAAAAUAAAUUGUCUCAAAUUUCACGGGGUCCUUUUCCUGUUCCAUAUCAGAAAUUUAGGUCAAACGUAUUUUUCAGUUUAUUUGUAGAGAACACCUUUUACAAGUAUUUCUGUUCCGGUUCCAUUUGCAGCGUGAGAUUUCCUCAAAAAGUAAAUAAAAAUCAAGCUGAAUGAUUACCAACAUAUUUUUGACUUGACGUGUGAAAUGAAGACAAUUUCUGCCCACCUUCCAUCUCCAAGUAACUAAAUACAUAACUUUCCUGGCAUAAGAAAAAAAAUGAUGACCCCACCCGCAUUUUCGAUACAAUCAUCCCCCGCUUAUUAAAUUGAUUGCUUUCAUUUCUUCCCUAACCAAAUCCAACAAUUUAUUACACACUUUACAUAAUCUUCCCCGUCUUUUCCACACAUUGUACAAGUUGCACACGUCUUAAAUGAACGAUGGGCACGAAUUAGAUGCACCCACACAGAGAAAAAAGAAAUUAAUCCCGCCUGGCCUGAUAAAUAAAAAUGCCAGGUCGAAAGGGUAUAAUUUACUAAAGUCCAUUUACUUACUUACUUACUUUACCUUCUGAGCUUAUGUAUUCAUUAUUGAGCAAGGUGUAAUUUUUCCAAAAUGUAUCUCUCUCUCUCCCUGAAUGCAAUGCACUCCAGGACAUAACGGUAUCACGGGCUCUGAUAACAUCAUUCAUCCAUCCACCAUGUAUCCCAUCAUCAUCAUCAUCAUUUAUACAUGCAUGAGGUUGUUUUGUUGAUGAAAACAUGAAUUUAUAGAGUCCAAGUAGUAAAAUGUAGUCGUGUGUGCUUUGUGCUCUCAUACAUACGUCUGCAUCCUUUGAAUUUCAACAAAGUGUCACAAAGCAAUUUGCAUCGCAUUCAGAAAUUGGUCGUGCAGGCGGUCCUGGAAUUUCUACCUUUAUUAUACUCCGAUUUACGUAUGUAGUACGAGAGAAAGAAUGACUUUUGACCUACUUUCCCAAUUUUCUCUCUUUUUUAUUAAAGUUUUUUUUUGCUGGAGGAAACUAAAAAAAAUGAGUUAUGUAUGUUAAACCUGGAUGAAUAGUUUAAUCAGAAAAUUCAAAACUUGU